GACGAACGCUGGCGGCGUGCUUAACACAUGCAAGUCGAACGUGAUUUUUGUGGAAAUUCUUUCGGGAAUGGAAAUGAAAUGAAAGUGGCGAACGGGUGAGUAACACGUGAGCAACCUACCUUACACAGGGGGAUAGCCGUUGGAAACGACGAUUAAUACCGCAUGAGACCACAGAAUCGCAUGAUAUAGGGGUCAAAGAUUUAUCGGUGUAAGAAGGGCUCGCGUCUGAUUAGCUAGUUGGAAGGGUAAAGGCCUACCAAGGCGACGAUCAGUAGCCGGUUGGGAGGGAGGACGGGCAAAAUUGGAACUGGGCCCCGGUCCAAACUCCUACGGAGGGAGGCGGGGGGAAAAUUUGCAAAAGGGGGGGAACCCUAUUGAGGCGCCCCCGGGGGGGGAAAAAAGGUUUUCGAAUCGAAAAGCUCUUUCCUAGGGAAAAAAAAGGACGGUAUCAAAGGGGGAAGCCCCGGCUAAAUACGU
rnacentral:rRNA from 1 species